AGCUCUGCAUUACAUACAGCUCAUCUUCGGACUCUGCAUCAACUACAGUGCAUACAGCUGCACACAGACCUGUUGCAGAAACAUGACCAGAAUCAUCGUUGAAUAUAGUGGAUGAUGAACCUCUGCGGGGCACCUCCGGAAGCUUGCCAGUGUCGUCCCAACCCUGGUCCAUGGUGUGACGGUCGAGGGACACAGAGGGAGGCCGAAUAGCUUUGAGGUGUCAGUGAACGGUCAUUUGAUCUACUCCAGGUUUAAGACGGGACUGUUUCCAAAAUCUCAGACGGUGGCGGAGAGGGUGCAGAAGAUAAUUGACAAAGAAAAAACAUCUGCAAAGGGCUCUAAGCAUUAGAAGAUGGAGGUCAAAACACCAGCUGUAUUCACACUGCAAGAACAAUGGUUUGAUCUUUAUGUUCUCUCACAGCUCUCUAUCUGAAUACAAAAGUGAAUUCAGCAAUUAAAGUAUGACAUUAAAACAUUUUUAAAUUUCUAAUUUAACCUAAUUGAAACCCUCAAGUGUCACCGUCAGCCAUGAGAAGACGAUCAGACCAUUAAUCUUCACUGUGAAUACAGACAAAGACCAGAAGAUGAUGAGAGUAACUCUGAGGAGCCAGGCGCUGAUCUGCACUUCUGUUUAUGAAUGGACUCACUAAAAGCCAUGCAGUGUGUUCAUGAUGCAAGCCUAGAAGCUUUUCAGCCGGCUGGAGCCUGAGGAACUGCUCUCGUCAUGUCCGUCUGCCGUUUACUCAAAUAUAAAACCUAUCUACAGCUGCAUUUACUCAGGAAUAGAAAAUCAGAAAAUGUAACUCUGUUAUAUAUUUCAUAUUUCUCUGUUUAGAUAACUCCAAAUGUUUUCAGUCUGUGACAUCACAGGGCACAAAUUAAAGGAACAGUUUGACAUUUCUGGAAAUAGGCUUAUUGGCUUUCAUGCCAAGAGUUAGCUAGAUGAGACGAUCGAUACCACUCUGAUGUUUGUACGAUGAAUAUGAAGCUACCACCAGCAGCCUGUUAGCUUAUCUUAGCAUGAAGACUGGAAGCUGGGAGACACAGUCAGCCUGGCUCCGUCCUGUCAACACAAUCUGCCGACCAGCACCUCUAAAGCUCACUGAUUGACAUGUGAUGUCUGGUUUGUUUAAUCUGUACAAAAACCACAGUGUUUAAGUCACAAGUUGCUGCUGACAGGAGGUUAUGGGCCGGACUCUUUCUUGGCUUGGACCAGUAACCUUCUGGAGUCGUGCUACUGGUCCACGCCAUGAAAUAGUCCGGCUCCUAACCCCUCUGUAAAAUGGCAAAUGUCAUCUGUGCACUGUGGUUUUUGUACAGAUCAAAGAAGAUAUACAGCAGCAUGUGAAUCAGUGAGCUUUAGAGGUUGUGGUCGGUGGGUUUUUGUUACCUUUGGACAGAGCCAGGCUGGCUGUUCCCCCUGUUUCCAGUCUGUAUGCUAAGCUAAGCUAACCAGCUGGUGGUAGCUGUGUAUUUACCGCACAGACAUGAGAGUGGUAUUGAUCUUCUUAAUUUACUCUGCAAGACAGCAAAAUAAACGUUUUUCCAAAGAUGUUGAACUAUUCUUUACAUUUAAGGUGGUCGAACAUAAAAUGUGCCACUAUUUUCCUCCCUCAUUCAGAUAUCAAUACCU